CCUCGGGUCGCACCAGUGGGGAAUAUUGCACAAUGGGCGAAAGCCUGAUGCAGCAACGCCGCGUGAGGGACGACGGCCUUCGGGUUGUAAACCUCUUUUAGCAGGGAAGAAGCGAAAGUGACGGUACCUGCAGAAAAAGCACCGGCUAACUACGUGCCAGCAGCCGCGGUAAUACGUAGGGUGCAAGCGUUGUCCGGAAUUAUUGGGCGUAAAGAGCUCGUAGGCGGUUUGUCGCGUCUGCUGUGAAAAUCCGAGGCUCAACCUCGGACCUGCAGUGGGUACGGGCAAACUAGAGUGCGGUAGGGGAGAUUGGAAUUCCUGGUGUAGCGGUGGAAUGCGCAGAUAUCAGGAGGAACACCAAUGGCGAAGGCAGAUCUCUGGGCCGUAACUGACGCUGAGGAGCGAAAGCGUGGGGAGCGAACAGGAUUAGAUACCCUUGUAGUC
rnacentral:rRNA from 1 species